CCACAGCGUAGUUCAGGUGUGAGCUCCCGGGAAUUCUUCCUGCCUGCCGAGACUGGCUUCAGGACAAGGGACUGGAUGACCCUUAUCUGACCCUCAGCCUGAAGAGAAUUGCCACCACUGACGUGUAAGAGUCUGUUUGUUGGAGGAACCGGAAAUGCCAAGUGCAGGGAUUGGACUACUCGGCCUCACAGGCCCUCCGUCUUCCUUGACUCCAAGAGACUCAACAAAUCAUGCACUUUAAAUAUGGUAGGAGACUAAAGAAAAACAACUGGGCCUUCAUCAAACUGAAAAGUUUUUACACAGCAAGAGAAACCAUCAAGAAAAUAAAAAGAUAAUCCACUGGGUUGUCAUCACUGAUCAACUUUUAAUCCAUCCCUGCUACUCCCGCCCUGUCAUCCUGCUGUCCAGGGAAGCCCUGGCAAGGGAAUUUCUGCUGGACAUGCUCCUACUAUGCUGGUUGGUGAAAACUUAAUCUGGUCCUCUUGGAACAGCUGUUGAAGAUGAGCUUCUGCUGGUGCCUUAUGGAGAGGUCUGUGGAUUUCCCUCCUCACCUGCUUCAGAAAAGUUGAAGCUCUUAGUAACUGUCUACCACGUGGUGAUUCAUCAACCCAGGCUCUGCUGUCUCCACACGGUGCAUCCACAUCUGUCUCAGCAGGAGAGAGGGAUGAAAACACCACGCUUUUCACUGCUUCAGCCUGGAAGUGACCCACAUCACCUCCACUCCCAUUCCACUGGCCACAGCUAGUCACAUGUCCCCUAACUGUAGCGUACCUGGGAAGUGUGUUUUUUUUCUUUCCUCUUUGUAUGCUCAGGGAGACCUGGCAAUGUCUACCAGGUGAACUAUUAAGUUAAUAAGAGCUCAGCAAGAUCAAUAUACCCAAGUCAAUAACAUUUUUAUACAUCUGUAACAAAAAUUAGAAAAUGUAAAUUUAGAUGUCCACUUAAAAUGCAACAAGCCUUUGGGACAAAUCUAACAAAAGAUGUGCAAGACAUUUGUAGAUAUAACUAUAAAACUUUAUUGAAGGAUAGAAAAGAUGUCAAUCCUCUCCAAGUUAAUCUGUAGAUUAAAUGCGAUUUUGACUAAAAUACAAAUAGAGUGUUUGGGGAUGGUAGCUGAUCCUAAACAUCAUAUGGGAUAACAAACAACUCAGAAUAACAGAGACAGUUUUACAGAGGAAGAAGGCUGCAGGUGGCAAGCAUGGGCAGUAGUGUUUGCACAGGGAUAGAACAGCAGACAAACGUUGCAAAGGAAAAGUAGGGCCUUGUUUGGAAAUAAAACUGGAGUUUGACAAAGAUGCCAUUGUAAAUCAAUGCAAAGAGGGGCCACUGGCUGCUGAGAUAACUGAAUAUGGAAAAAGUGAUCACGGAUUGCAAUGAUUAUAAGUUGGACAUUCUAAAGCAAAUAAUCCCAAAAUAAAAUUGUUACAAAAUUCCUUCCAAUUUUUUGCAGCAAAAAUAACAUCUUUAGUGUUCAUUGUGAGCAUAGUUUUUGAUAUGAUGUGGGAUGAGGUCUCCCAGCCCAAGAAUGGCCUAAGUCAUAAACUCCUGUUUCUGCAGUUGAAUUUCCUCUGCUUGAUUCUCACUGAGUACAUCAGAGGGUUGUUUGAAUGCCUCCAGAAAUGAUGAUGGGGAA